rnacentral:rRNA from 1 species
AGAGUUUGAUCUCUGGCUCAGGACGAACGCUGGCGGCGUGCCUAACACAUGCAAGUCGAACGAGAAUCCGUGGAAGGAGGCUUCGGCCAACGGAAGCGGAGGACAGUGGCGGACGGGUGAGUAACGCGUGAGCAACCUGCCUUGGAGUGGGGGACAACAGAGGGAAACUUCUGCUAAUACCGCAUAAUGUGCCGGGAAGGCAUCUUCCUGGUACCAAAGAUUUAUCGCUCUAAGAUGGGCUCGCGUCUGAUUAGAUAGUUGGUGGGGUAACGGCCUACCAAGUCGACGAUCAGUAGCCGGACUGAGAGGUUGAACGGCCACAUUGGGACUGAGAUACGGCCCAGACUCCUACGGGAGGCAGCAGUGGGGAAUAUUGCACAAUGGGGGAAACCCUGAUGCAGCGACGCCGCGUGAAGGAAGAAGUAUUUCGGUAUGUAAACUUCUAUCAGCAGGGAAGAUAGUGACGGUACCUGACUAAGAAGCCCCGGCUAACUACGUGCCAGCAGCCGCGGUAAUACGUAGGGGGCAAGCGUUAUCCGGAUUUACUGGGUGUAAAGGGAGCGUAGACGGUGUGGCAAGUCUGAUGUGAAAGGCAUGGGCUCAACCUGUGGACUGCAUUGGAAACUGUCAUACUUGAGUGCCGGAGGGGUAAGCGGAAUUCCUAGUGUAGCGGUGAAAUGCGUAGAUAUUAGGAGGAACACCAGUGGCGAAGGCGGCUUACUGGACGGUAACUGACGCUGAGGCUCGAAAGCGUGGGGAGCAAACAGGAUUAGAUACCCUGGUAGUCCACGCCGUAAACGAUGA